rnacentral:rRNA from 1 species
AACGCUGGCGGCGCGCCUAACACAUGCAAGUCGAGCGGAGAUAUACGAAGAGUAAUCCGAGUAUAUCUUAGCGGCGGACGGGUGAGUAACGCGUGAGUGACCUGCCUCUUACAGGGGAAUAACGUGCCGAAAGGCACACUAAUACCGCAUAAGACCACGAAACCGCAUGGUUAUGAGGUCAAAGGAGCAAUCCGGUAAGAGAUGGGCUCGCGUCCGAUUAGAUAGUUGGUGAGGUAACGGCCCACCAAGUCGACGAUCGGUAGCCGACCUGAGAGGGUGAUCGGCCACAUUGGAACUGAGAGACGGUCCAAACUCCUACGGGAGGCAGCAGUGGGGAAUAUUGGGCAAUGGGGGAAACCCUGACCCAGCGACGCCGCGUGAGGGAAGAAGGUUUUCGGAUUGUAAACCUCUGUUCUUGGUGAAGAGGGGAAGACGGUAGCCAAGGAGGAAGCCCCGGCUAACUACGUG